rfam:Canis lupus familiaris chromosome 22, whole genome shotgun sequence.
GCUUGGCUGGCUCAGUCAGUAAAGCAUGAGACUCUCAAUCUCAGGGUCAUGAGUUCAAGUCCCACUUUGAGUG